GUUGGGUAGGGGAGCGUUCUGUAAGCCUGUGAAGGUGUACUGUGAGGUAUGCUGGAGGUAUCAGAAGUGCGAAUGCUGACAUAAGUAACGAUAAAGCGGGUGAAAAGCCCGCUCGCCGGAAGACCAAGGGUUCCUGUCCAACGUUAAUCGGGGCAGGGUGAGUCGACCCCUAAGGCGAGGCCGAAAGGCGUAGUCGAUGGGAAACAGGUUAAUAUUCCUGUACUUGGUGUUACUGCGAAGGGGGGACGGAGAAGGCUAUGUUGGCCGGGCGACGGUUGUCCCGGUUUAAGCGUGUAGGCUGGUUUUCCAGGCAAAUCCGGAAAAUCAAGGCUGAGGCGUGAUGACGAGGCACUACGGUGCUGAAGCAACAAAUGCCCUGCUUCCAGGAAAAGCCUCUAAGCAUCAGGUAACAUCAAAUCGUACCCCAAACCGACACAGGUGGUCAGGUAGAGAAUACCAAGGCGCUUGAGAGAACUCGGGUGAAGGAACUAGGCAAAAUGGUGCCGUAACUUCGGGAGAAGGCACGCUGAUAUGUAGGUGAAGUCCCUCGCGGAUGGAGCUGAAAUCAGUCGAAGAUACCAGCUGGCUGCAACUGUUUAUUAAAAA
rnacentral:rRNA from 1 species